rnacentral:rRNA from 1 species
AGUGAACGCUGGCGGUAGGCCUAACACAUGCAAGUCGAACGGCAGCACAGUAAGAGCUUGCUCUUACGGGUGGCGAGUGGCGGACGGGUGAGGAAUACAUCGGAAUCUACUUUUUCGUGGGGGAUAACGUAGGGAAACUUACGCUAAUACCGCAUUCGACCUACGGGUGAAAGCAGGGGAUCUUCGGACCUUGCGCGAUUGAAUGAGCCGAUGUCGGAUUAGCUAGUUGGCGGGGUAAAGGCCCACCAAGGCGACGAUCCGUAGCUGGUCUGAGAGGAUGAUCAGCCACACUGGAACUGAGACACGGUCCAGACUCCUACGGGAGGCAGCAGUGGGGAAUAUUGGACAAUGGGCGCAAGCCUGAUCCAGCCAUACCGCGUGGGUGAAGAAGGCCUUCGGGUUGUAAAGCACUUUUGUUGGGAAAGAAAAGCAGCAGGUUAAUACCCCGCUGUUCUGACGGUACCCAAAGAAUAAGCACCGGCUAACUUCGUG